UACGUAGGGUGCAGGCGUUAAUCGGAAUUACUGGGCGUAAAGCGUGCGCAGGCGGUCUUUUAAGUCAGAUGUGAAAUCCCCGGGCUUAACCUGGGAACUGCGUUUGAAACUGAAAGGCUAGAGUGUGGCAGAGGGGGGUGGAAUUCCACGUGUAGCAGUGAAAUGCGUAGAGAUGUGGAGGAACACCGAUGGCGAAGGCAGCCCCCUGGGCUAACACUGACGCUCAUGCACGAAAGCUAGGGGAGCAAACAGG
rnacentral:rRNA from 1 species